rnacentral:rRNA from 1 species
UACGAAGGGGGCUAGCGUUGCUCGGAAUCACUGGGCGUAAAGCGCACGUAGGCGGAUUGUUAAGUCAGGGGUGAAAUCCUGGAGCUCAACUCCAGAACUGCCUUUGAUACUGGCGAUCUCGAGUUCGGGAGAGGUGAGUGGAACUGCGAGUGUAGAGGUGAAAUUCGUAGAUAUUCGCAAGAACACCAGUGGCGAAGGCGGCUCACUGGCCCGAUACUGACGCUGAGGUGCGAAAGCGUGGGGAGCAAACAGGG